rnacentral:rRNA from 1 species
UACGAAGGGGGCUAGCGUUGUUCGGAUUUACUGGGCGUAAAGCGCACGUAGGCGGAUUGUUAAGUCAGGGUGAAAUCCCGGAGCUCAACUCCGGAACUGCCUUUGAUACUGGCAUCUAGAGUCGGAAGAGGUGGAGUGGAACUCCUAGUGUAGAGGUGGAAUUCGUAGAUAUUAGGAAAGAACACCAGUGGCGAAGGCGGCUCACUGGUCCGGUACUGACGCUGAGGUGCGAAAGCGUGGGGAGCAA